CCCGAGACUAGAGUCACAUCCCGACACAGCUCUUGUCCUGGUGUGCUAGAGUCGUCGGAGAGAAUCUACUGAUCUUGAUUCAUUGGUGGGGGGGUGAUUGGUGUCCCCACCAGUGCCCUGAUCAGAAACAUGU
rnacentral:snoRNA from 1 species